GGAGAGGCCAGCAGGGGGGCUAUAGAGGAGGCUUUGAGGGAGGGGGAUUGAGGGAGGGUCUCUGAGGGAGGGAGGAUGCUCAAUUUGGCCUGGGGAGUCUUCCCAGAAGAGAUGAUGUUUAAACUGAACCUUGAAGGACAAGGACCAAUUAACCAGAAAAAACAGGCAACAAGGUAGAAGAUGGCAAGAGGCUGUUUAGAAAGUGGGAACAGUAUGUGGAAAGCCAGAGACACAGAAUAGCAUGGUUAAAGCGUGCAUGUGUGUGCAUGCAUGCGUGUGUAUGUGUGCACAUGUGCACAGAGUGGGGUCACAGUGGUAGGAGCUGUUGUUAGACACGAAGCUGGAGAGACAGGCAGAGCCAGGGCAGGACAAAAAGCAAUGGAAUAAAUGAAAAUAUUUUAUUAAAAGAGCUCAGGAGGAGGGUCUGGGCUAGAGAGAAGAAUGUGGGAAUCACUAGGAUAGAAACUGGCUGAAGUCAGUGACAGACGGGAAGCCUGGAAAACCAGCACACAAGGGACGAUCCCAGGGAGAAGCAGCCACAAAAGCUUCAGAGAGAUGGGAAGAACACAGGGAACAAUGUCAUAGAAGGCAUAAGUGAGUCUCAGGGAGCGGGUGGCCAAGAGAAAGAGUGACGAGGACCCAGGAAGUCCUUUGGAUUCUAGUCGGAGACUGGGAGACCUAAGUGAAUAGACCCAGGCUGCCGGCAGGCUGGAAGUGAAUGGGAGGUGAGGAAGUGAUGACCUAUUUGAGAACCUGAAGAAAGCUACAGACCCUCAACCAGCAAAACCAUCAACUAAACAACAGUGGAAACAUGCACGGUCACCAUACAACUGGAUAUAAAACCCAGCAAAUGUUAUUUUUGUAUCUGAAGCAGCAAAAGGAUUGUACUGUAAAUUCGCCCUGAUUCACCCAUGCGAGGGACCAAUUUGGCAGAUCAUCCAUCUUGCUCACUGUAUACUGUCAAGGAUGGCAUGAAUUCCCCACAUGAUAAACAGAUUCCUUCUCAGGCCUACAUGCAACGUACACCUUGGGACUGACGGCUCGCUCUUCUACAGUGCUCAGCACGUGAUGGAGACACCAGUGUGACUCAAAGGGCUGCAUCCUGUGUGAUGCGUUUGGAUGACAUUCCAGAAAAGGUAAAACUAUAGGGACAGAAAACAGACCAGGGGAUUCCAAGGGGGAAGGGCAGACGUGACUAAGAAGGGAAAUGAGGGAACAUUUGGGAGAUGAUGGAAUUAUUCUAUAUCUGGACUGGGAAGACUCAUAGAACAGUUCUGAGUGAAGAGUGAAUUUUACUACAUAUAAAUUAUACCUUUUAUAGUAAAAACUUAGGAAAAAAGUGCUAGUGGAAAGAAUGAAUGAAGGCCAUGUCAUUAGGCCACUGGGAACAUGGCACAGAACAGAUCAGAGGUGGCCCUGCCCGCUGGAGCUUGCAGCUAGCAGGGAAGACAGCUAUGAAACAGCAAAUACCUACAGGCUGAUGGAUAUUCUGGUGGGAGACAGACAGGGGUACACAGCAGGGGUGCAGGGACAUUUCAGGCAUGAACAGGAAUUAGCCAGGUAAGUUAGGAGUGGGAAUGGUGAGAGGGAGGUAGAUUGUGCCAGAUGUUUUUGAGGUUAUCAAACCUGGGGUAGCUGGUGGGUUUGAUGCAUGAAUGGAACUCAGUGUAGUGAGAGAGACCCCAGUGGCUGGGUGGUGCAGGGCCUUGGAAUUGGCCAUGUCUGGUGUCUGUUUUAAUCCCAAUGCAGUGGGAUCCAGGGAAAGGUCUGCUCCACGACGGGGCUCCCCUGCACCUAGCAUUGCUUCUCUUUUGCAGACUCCAAGUGGGCACUGAGGGUUUACUGAGGCCUUGUCUGAAAUAGCAAAAAACUGGAAAUAGUGUCCAUCACUAGGAGACUAGGUAUCUAAACUGUGGCAUGCUCAUAUGGUACGCUGUUAUGCUACAAACAGCAGUGAGAAUGUAAGAACUGGAGCCACAUGUGUCCACAUCAGAGGCCUAAUGAAGAGUCCCCAAAGCAAGAUGCAGACCAGAAACAGAGCAUGACAUUUGCAUAACGCGUGAAAGCUUGCACAUACUACACACGGCGCGUGGGUACUCAGGUAAGUAGUGAGGAUAUGUCACUAUGCACAGGAAUGAUAAAAAGCAAAUCCAAGGUAGGCAGUCUACUCCUAGGAGGAAUAAAAAUUAAGGAGGGGGCUUCAACUCUAUCUUUAAUGUCUUACUUCUUUUAAAGAUAUAGGUUUAAAUUAUGACCAAAAGUUAAGGCUAAAGUUGGGUGAUGGGUAGGUGGGUGUUUACUACAUUAUUCGAGAGUUUCUUUAUGUUUGGAAUAUUGUUGACCUAAUAUUAAAAAGUAAGAAAGUAAGUAAGUUCACUAUUGAUUAUGCACAGAGAAGGAACUUGAGAACACACAGUAAGGCGGUGAGAGCUGGAGGGCUGGAAGAGUGGGAGGCAAGUGUGGAGAGAGAUGCAGGUUUGAGAGCAGUUUAGGAGAUGGAGGGGCAGGUGACAGCAGGGCAUCGUGGGGGGAGAAAGAAGACCAUGGGAAGAAAGCCCACCACAUCACCAUUCAUAAGAACAGCCACUCCUAGGCUGACAUUCAUCGUCCGCUUACUAUGUGCAGGCACCGUGUGAAGGUAUAUAGGAGGAACAGAUUCAACCCUCACAGCCACCUCCCAAUAUGAAGUAGACAAUAGUCACUUCCCUCAUUUGACAGAAGAUACGGUGCGACUAGCUGGAUGGUCCAUUUCUAGAUAGGCCCCCGUACAGUCAGUGGUGCCCGCACCCUGCAGCCUGCGUGUCUGCUGGAGGUGGGAGUGACUGGGCCUGCCUUCCAGGGCAUGGCUUCUCUACUAUCCACCUGUCAGCACAUAAAUCUCAAAAACAUAACCACAAGGCACAAAAGAGCCAAUCCCCUCGUGGGAUUAAGGAAGGGAACCAGAACACAUUUCAUACCAAGUAUGAAUGGGGCAGUGUGCUGAGGGCGUUUACACAUGGUUUCAUUCACUCCUAAUAGCCCUGCAGUGGAAACAUACCCCCACAUUCUCCAGCAAGGAAACUGAGGCUCAGACAGACAACUUGGCUUGGCCGAAAUCACAUGGAUGGAACACAGAUCGAAAGCAGUUUAGGCUUUGAGCCCAUGCCAAGCCAGGAAAUUCCAAGUGCCUAUAAAGACAGACGGGUAUGGAAAGGCGGGAGAAAGGAAGAAGGUUAGCAGGGAGAAGGGGGUGGUUGUGGCCUGGCACAUUUAAGUGUGAAUGAAUGAGGACGCCUGGGGGAGGGAUGUGGUCUUGGCGCAGUGGUGAGCGGCGCAGGGUGCGAGGACGGGUGGCAAGCUCUGGGGCGCAUGGGGCAGGCAUCCUAGGUCCAGCAGGAGCCCUAGUGGCCCACCCAGAAGGACCCUGCCUAACCUGAGGGCCUUUCCAGCCUAAGCCACUGACAGCUUCAGAAACUACAACACAGUGACCCCAACAGUCCAGAAUGUUUCUCAGCCGAGUUCAGAUGGACAGAUCCUGAUGUGGACACCAAACCUGCCCUAAACAUGGGGACUCACUCGAGUGCUCACCUUGUGCUCUGAAGAGACCUGCCACCUGGUGGUUAUGGCCAGAGAGUCUGUUUAGAUAGAAUGAGCUUCUGUGCAUCAAAGGUGAACAGCAAUGCUAAUCUGACCUCAUGUAUCUUAAUCACACGUUGGCGAGGCCUGUGCCACACAGUAACACGAGGCCCGCUUGCAUGACCAGCUCUGAAAUUUCUGACCAAGUCCUUCCUCAGUGGUGGUGGUGCCGAUGGGCUUGUCGGUUCCCAAGCCUUGGCUCUGACCUGAGCAGCAGGUACUCACAGCCCUUGUCGGAGCUCUACCAUAUUCCACUAGUCACCUGUCACCCGUAGACACGGCCAAUAUAAUGUGGAGUUUUCUUGAGUACGUAUGAGUGGUAUUUAAUAUUUUGACCAAUUAGCAGGAGCAUGACAGAAAGCAUGUAGCUACUUUAUUUAUUUAAUAAGAUGUCACAGAGACACUCAGGAGCUUCCCAUACCCCCUUACAGUACUGUUUUCCUACUGAGAAGGAAAUGAGCGCAAGCCAGCAACAUAGUAAGGAAUGUCAGAGACGCACCCAAAGGAGCCACACUGCAAAAUGGCCUUCUCUCCAAGGUGAGUGCCUGCGUCUACACUGGUGGGAGAACGCGAGGGUCCAACUUGAGGUCCACUCCCACACGGCAUCCAGCAGCAGCGAGGCCCUCUCCUGCCCCAGGUUGCUUUAAAUCACUGAAAAUCUUAGCAGCAAACCUAACAAGUCACUUUUUUCCCCCAAUAGCAUAAAGGAGUAAACUGAGAAAGACCUGGGGUGGGAAGGUCAGGCUAGGAGCCGGGAGCAGGGGGCAGACUGGGUGGCACCUCUGUCUCCCUGUCGGCACUAGUUUCUUCUAUAAAAUGGAAGAGCGAUGGUUUCUUUCUCACCCCCUCUGCCAGGACUGAAGUUAGAACAAGACAAGGGGAGCUAAAACUCUCCAGCACCUAGUAGGUGCUUGGGGGUGGGGGUGUGUGUGAACAAUUUAUUUUCUUAACUCCGCCUAAGUAACUGUUACAAUGACAUAAGAGCCAAAAUUAUUUAUUAACAAAGAAAACUUGUUUAAUAAAAUCAAGGUUAUUUAACUUGUGCCAUUUAUAUCUUACCUGCCCAAAUGUGAUUCCUCAGCCACUUGCAGAUGGGGCCUGUGCCUUUCAGGGAAUAGGGAAGCUUUCUAUGCACUGCGAGGUGACAGGGGGCAGGGGUCCAGAUGUGAGUAAGGCAGACCCUGUGCUCCCAGGACUUGCAGCUGAAGGGGAAGACCAGCCUCAGUAAGUAGGUCACCGUAACAAAGAGGCUGGGGCAGUGGGUGCUUACAGCCCCUGUCACCCCAGAGCUGGGGAUGAGGAUGGACGAGGGUAGGCCUGGGGGGCACCUGCACGAGAGGAGGCGGGGAAAAGAGUCUGAAGACAGGCCAGGUCACGGAUUACCCAAGUGAGACUUGAACCUGAGGGAGGCUGGGCAGCAGAGUGACCAGUCAGAUGUGCACUGUGGAAAGAUGGAGCUGGCCUGAGUGAGGGGACACCUGUCUGAAGACAAGGUGCUCAGCAGGUACAGAGCUGUGCACACGUGGGAGUGGGGAGCCAAAGGUGGUCUGCCAGGCUGGCUCAGGGAGCCCUGGGGUGGGUAGGCCACUCACCUCAAGAAGGGGCACUGGGGGGGAGCAGCUCUAGGGGGAUGAGACCCAGGGUCAGGUGGUCUCUGGCCAUACAGGCAGGUUGGUCCAUGGCCUGGCCACAGCCCAGGGCAGUGAGAGAUGCUCACUGCCGUUGCCAGGGAGUCAACGCGCUCAGCUCUUCUAAUGAGACACCACCUCCGUGUGUGACCCAGAACCUCCCUCCCACCUGGGAUGGUUCUUCACACUCUUUCCUUCUCCCCAAGCUGGGAAACCACACUGGGGAAAGAAACCUUAGAAAUCCUGUGUUGACUAGAGACAUACAAGGAGAAGCUGCAGAGGUGACAGGGUCCUGUGGUGGGCUAGAGCCCACCCAUGGGCUGGGAGGGGACGCUGCCAGGGACUUGGAAUGUAAGUCUGCUCUCCCUCAGGGCUCACUUUUCUUGUGUAUCUUUUAUAAGCUCUUAAGGAAAUAUGCACAUCAAAAGCAGAGCUUGGAGAUAUUAAAAAUUAAAAACCCUGCUUAAAUUACAAUUCAAUUUUUGUAGUGAACUCGCAGUCUGGCAAGACUGCUGAAGUGACACUGGGUGACACAGUUGGCCCCGCUUCAGGGGCACAGUGCUUGCCCUGCUCCAGCUUUUCUCCAGAUCCACACUGAUUUAGAAAUAAUGCUUUCAAAUUACCUUCAAUAACCUUAUUACAGAGCCAGCUGUGCGUAUGAACACUUAUCAAUGCGUCCCUGUGCAUUAAGAGAAAAUGUAUGUCAUACAAACAGUCUAAAUAUAUAAUACUGAGAUGGGAAAAAACAAACCCUCUAGUUAAAUUGCUUUGCUGUAAUCAAAGAUUAAUCACUGUGUGAGAGUGCAUGUGUGAGUGUGUGCGCGCCCUCUCUUUUUCUCCAGGGUUCAUUUCUGGCUUUGGGCAAACCUGCCCAUCCCUUACCAAGCCACACUCUCCACCAGGCAGCUCACACCGCUCUUCUGAUGGUGGAAUUAAUUUUCCCAGAUUCCUGAGAGUUGGAGGAGCUAAGUGGUGGUCUUAAAUGUUGUUUUCUUUCUGAGUCUUGUAGGCCUGUAGCUCAGAAACACUCCUUUCCCCCAGGUGCGUGAUGGGCAGCAGGCUUGGAAGUGUCCAUCUGUGCCUGUCCCUUCUCGACAAUGCUGCCAGUCAGCCUGGUGUGCGGGUGGUGACGUUUGGGCUGUGAUGGAAUGUUCCUUUGAGAAUCCAUGGCUGCCCGCAGCCAGUGGCGUGGAGGGCUGCUCUCUGCCUUGCACCCGAUGCGCAGGUGACUAAACUCAUCUGGCCCCACAAGGGCCUGGGGCCACGCCGAGUGGGACCAAGUGACAUUUUCGUUAUAUGAGAUGGUAUUAGAAAAGCCAUUAAGGUACAUUAUUUUACACAUCCUCCUAAUCUCUCCACACUGCUUUACUUAAUUUGUGAUGAAAUUGUUGAGAAAGGGUACUUAAUGUAGGACAGUCAGUAAAAGUAAUUUAUCAUCUUCCCGCUUCAGUGCUCACGUUAUCAGAGAACUCAUUUUCUGCAUUCAUCAUGCAAUCAGCCUAUUAUUUGCAUAUUAAUCAGGCAGUGGACCAUGAAAGAACUGCAUCCCAGCCAAAUGCUGCACUAUCUCAGGAGAAACACUCGGUAAUUAUCAUACAUCAGUGUUAUGAUGUGGUAAUUGAUUAGAACAUCUCUCUGCUGCCCCCGGGGAGUCCCUCUGCUAACCCAGCUCCAGGCACUCUGGACAGAUUUUUCUUUUACUGCAAAAAAUCAGAGUAACCACUGCUGUUCUCUCAGAGUGCUAUUUCUGUGGAGUAUUGAUCCUCUUUUCCAAAUUCAUAAGGUAUUUUAAGCCAUGCGAAACAAAACCGACUGUAACUCAGGAAUGAGAAGGUCUGAUAGUGACUUGGGAAUGUCCCUCUGGGCCCCUGUCCCCUCUCUCCUCAGCAUUUUGGGUUCAGAGGUGCUGCUUCGGCUUCCAUAAACAUUUCCUUAUCAAAUAAAAUGUUGCAACUUCAGUCCCUCCUAAUUGCAAAGCUGGUACAAAGGCAGUUGGGCUGAUUUAGGUGCCAAAUGACAAGACUAAUUUUGGCCUUCCUGUAAAGGACAAACCCGACCUCUGCCAAUUCAGACUCUGGCUAUAUUUAGGAGCCCAGUUCCAAAGGGAAGAGCAAAAUAUGAAAUCAAGAUGAAGCCAGUGAUGGAGGCUUCCUGGCUGGCUCCUGUGCUAUGCAGGGCAGUGCCAGCAGGGACUCCCCUCCUUCCUCCAGCUGACCAUGGCCCACAAGUCAGUCUGUGUGGGGCUGGGGUUGGGGCACUGGCCGGGGAGGCCGUGAUAGCUGUAGGUGGGGCUGCCUUGCAGCGAGGAAAGGACCUCAGGCCCACUGUGUAUAUGUUUGUUGAAUUUGGACUGGAAGGGAUUUCGAGAAAGCAUAGACCCUCCAUCCUACGCAAGAUGGAGUAUCACUUGUCCACGGCCAAACUUCAUAAACUCAAGUCCAACUCCACCACUGACUUGUCGAUCAUCCCUCCCCUUCCCCAGCCUAGGUCACUGGUGAAACAUACAGGACAGAUCCCAAGGUAACCAAGGUGUCUGUUUUUCUGCCAAUUGUUUGUUUUGUCAUGGAUUUUUUGUUUUUAUAUUUGUCUAUUUAUAAUCUGAAGCCAAUUUUGUCCCUUG